rnacentral:rRNA from 1 species
CAUGUAGGUGGCUUUGUAAGUGAGCGAUUAAAGACCAGGGCUUAACCCUGGGACUGUUGCUUAUACUGCAUGGCUUGAGGAUACCAGGGGCAAGCGGAACUUUAGGUGUAGGAGUGAAAUCCGUAGAUAUCUAAAGGAACACCAAUGGCGAAGGCAGCUUGCUAGGGUAUAUCUGACACUGAGAUGCGAAAGCGUGGGGAGCAAACGGGAUUAGAUACCCCGGUAGUCCACGCUGUAAACGAUGCACACUAGGCCUUGGGGAGUAUCGACCCUUCCUUGGACCGAAGCUAACGCGUUAAGUGUGCCGCCUGGGGAGUACGAGCGCAAGCUUAAA